CACCGCCUGGGGAGUACGACCGCAAGGUUAAAACUCAAAUGAAUUGACGGGGACCCGCACAAGUAGUGGAGCAUGUGGUUUAAUUCGAAGAUACGCGCAGAACCUUACCAACACUUGACAUGUUCGUCGCGACUUUAAGAGAUUAAAGUUUUCGGUUCGGCCGGACGAAACACAGGUGCUGCAUGGCUGUCGUCAGCUCGUGUCGUGAGAUGUUGGGUUAAGUCCCGCAACGAGCGCAACCCUCACUUUUAGUUGCCAUCAUUUAGUUGGGCACUCUGAAAGAACUGCCAGUGAUAAGCUGGAGGAAGGUGGGGAUGACGUCAAGUCCUCAUGGCCCUUACGUGUUGGGCUACACACGUGCUACAAUGGUAUCCACAACAGGAAGCAAGAUGGCGACAUCAAGCAAAUCCUUAAAAGAUACCUCAGUUCGGAUUGCACUCUGCAACUCGAGUGCAUGAAGCUGGAAUUACUAGUAAUCGUGGAUCAGCGUGCCACGGUGAAUGCGUUCCCGGGUCUUGUACACACCGCCCGUCACACCAUGGGAGUUGGUUCUACCUUAAGGCAAGGUUUAAUACCCUUGACCACGGUAUAGUCAGCGACUGGGGUGAAGUCGUAACAAGGUAGCCGUAGGGGAACCUGCGGCUGGAUUACCUCCUUUCUAAGGAUGAAUAAAAAUUUUUUUUUAUUCUAAAUAAUAUACAUAGGUAAUGUUGACCGUCCUCAUUUCUCUUCUUAGAUCAAAGUGUUUCUCUUGCAUGGGGGCCGGUAGCUCAGUUGGUUAGAGCACACCCUUGAUAAGGGUGGGGUCGAAAGUUCGAGUCUUUCUCGGCCCACCAAUUUAAGAUUAAGGGGGAUUAGCUCAGCUGGGAGAGCGCCUGAUUUGCAUUCAGGAGGUCAGCGGUUCGAUCCCGCUAUCCUCCACCAAAACACUUAGUUAUAAAAAAUUGUGAAUAAAAAUUAAUUUAUAUCAAUAUCUAUAUCCGAACAUUAAUUUUGUUAUUAGUUAAUGUUCAUUAAAAAUUUGAUUCACACAGAAUUUUUUUCUG
rnacentral:sRNA from 1 species